rnacentral:rRNA from 1 species
UGCGUAGGGUGCGAGCGUUGUCCGGAAUUAUUGGGCGUAAAGGGCUCGUAGGCGGUCUGUUGCGUCGGGAGUGAAAACUCAGGGCUUAACCCUGAGCCUGCUUCCGAUACGGGCAGACUAGAGGUAUGCAGGGGAGAACGGAAUUCCUGGUGUAGCGGUGAAAUGCGCAGAUAUCAGGAGGAACACCGGUGGCGAAGGCGGUUCUCUGGGCAUUACCUGACGCUGAGGAGCGAAAGUGUGGGGAGCGAACAGG